UAUUGUGUGACAGUAUUUUGAUUCGUAUAUCGGGUCUGGAAGUGAGAAAGGAAAACAGAAAAUAAAGGGGGAGAAAGAAAAAAGUCGGAGGAACUGUCAAAAUAACACCCCUUAAUUUAAAGCAGCGGGGGGCUACGACGUGUUUAUUGCCCCCCUCCUCCUUCAGGAAAACGUUGAAGGCCACGGUGCUGUUUUUACCACUUUCCAAAGUUCCACCUCUCCGCUUCUCUGACAGCACCCCCGGCCCUGAGGAGAAUCGGUGGCGGUGUCUCGGGUGUUGAAGGUGGCCCGGGGAGCGGCGGCUGAGACGGGAUAGUUCCUGUAAAGCCCCGGACUGCAGAAACUAAAGUUGGUGUGGAGAUCGGUUAUGUUGGAUCUUAACAACGAAGGGACAGCAUAUGACAGAAAAACCUAG